rnacentral:rRNA from 1 species
UGGGGAAUAUUGCACAAUGGGCGCAAGCCUGAUGCAGCCAUGCCGCGUGUAUGAAGAAGGCCUUCGGGUUGUAAAGUACUUUCAGCGGGGAGGAAGGGAGUAAAGUUAAUACCUUUGCUCAUUGACGUUACCCGCAGAAGAAGCACCGGCUAACUCCGUGCCAGCAGCCGCGGUAAUACGGAGGGUGCGAGCGUUAAUCGGAAUUACUGGGCGUAAAGCGCACGCAGGCGGUUUGUUAAGUCAGAUGUGAAAUCCCCGGGCUCAACCUGGGAACUGCAUCUGAUACCGGCAAGCUUGAGUCUCGUAGAGGGGGGUAGAAUUCCAGGUGUAGCGGUGAAAUGCGUAGAGAUCUGGAGGAAUACCGGUGGCGAAGGCGGCCCCCUGGACGAAGACUGACGCUCAGGUGCGAAAGCGUGGGGAGCAAACA